GCUGAUGGGAGAUGUGAGGAGCUGUUAGGACCACGUGGCCCUCGUCUGAUCUCACAGCUCGUCCUUGUUUGGCCUCAGCUGCAUCAGAGCUCCACUUCUCCCCAGGUUCCCCACAGGAAACACCACGGAACAAAAUGCUUCUCCUCCCAGCUGCUGCUCUGUGCUGUCUGGGUUCAGCGCUGGCUGCCAUGGCAACACAGCUGAUUCAGGAGGAUUUAACAUUGACCAGGAGAGUUGGUGGAGACGUCUCCUUCAGCUGUCGAGGCAUUGAGCAGUGUGACGAUGAUUAUAUAUUCUGGUACCAGAAGAGAGACACAGAAACAUUCACACUGAUUCUUGAUAUUGACCGUAAUGGUGACAUAGAUAAGAGUUACAAUCAUCCUCAGAAAGAUGAUUUCUCAUCAGUGAAUAAACAGAACGGCUGUGAGUUGCAGAUCCAGAAAGUUAAACUGGAUCAUUCAGCCUCCUACUACUGCGCCUGUUGGGUCCCACAGUGAGACCUGAUCCCUGCAGCCUGAACAAAAACCUCCAGAUGAACAGAUGUCAACCAGUGUUGGAGACAGGAAGAGAUCAGCCAACCACAGCCCAGGUUCACAUGUUCCCCCUCCAUCUCAGCCAGAGUCACUA